rnacentral:rRNA from 1 species
UACAGAGGAGCCAAGCGUUGUCCGGAUUGACUGGGCGUAAAGCGCACGCAGGCGGCACCGCGCGUGGGGUGUGAAAUCUGGCCGCUUAACGGCCAGGCGCCAUCCCAUACGGCGGAGCUGGAGUGAUGCAGAGGUCGAUGGAAUUGCCGGUGUAGUGGUGAAAUGCGUAGAGAUCCGGAGGAACACCAGCGGCGAAGGCGGCGUCCUGGACUGGUACUGACGCUCAGGAGCGAAAGCGUGGGG